rnacentral:rRNA from 1 species
ACCAGACGAUGCGGGAUCGAAGAUGAUUAGAUACCAUCGUAGUCUUAACCAUAAACUAUGCCGACUGGGGAUUAUUGAAAUUUGUAAAUGAAUUUAAGAGCACUCCAUGAGAAAUCAAAGUUUUUGGGUUCCGGGGGGAGUAUGGUCGCAAGGCUGACACUUAAAGGAAUUGACGGAAGGGCACACCAGGCGUGGAGCCUGCGGCUUAAUCUGACUCAACACGGGAAAACUUACCAGGUCCAGACAUAGGAAGGAUUGACAGAUUGAGAGCUCUUUCUUGAUUCUAUGGGUGGUGGUGCAUGGCCGUUCUUAGUUGGUGGAGUGAUUUGUCUGGUUAACUCCGUUAACGAACGAGACCACCGCCUACUAAAUAGUACAAAUUUUCGCGAGAAAGUUUGAGACUUCUUAGAGGGACAUUUCGGGUUUACCGGAAGGAAGUUCGAG